rnacentral:rRNA from 1 species
GCAAGACCUCGGCGUACUGCUCAGUAACACGUGGACAAUCUGCCCUGAAGUGGAGGAUAAUCCCGGGAAACUGGGGGUAAUACUCCAUAGUUCGUGAUGACUGGAAUGUUUUGCGAACGAAAGAUCCGUCGCUUCAGGAUGAGUCUGCGGCCGAUUAGGUAGUUGUUGGGGUAACGGCCCAACAAGCCUGUCAUCGGUACGGGUUGUGGGAGCAAGAGCCCGGAGAUGGAUUCUGAGACACGAAUCCAGGCCCUACGGGGCGCAGCAGGCGCGAAAACUUUACCAUGCGGGCAACCGUGAUAAGGAAACCCCGAGUGCCAGCACAGGCUGGCUGUCCGCCAGUGUAAAUAACUGGUGAAGAAAGGGCCGGGCAAGACCGGUGCCAGCCGCCGCGGUAAUACCGGCGGCUCGAGUGGUGGCCACUAUUACUGGGCUUAAAGGGUCCGUAGCUUGAUGUACAAGUCUCUUGAGAAAUCCGCCGGCUUAACCGGUGGGCGUUCAGGGGAAACUGUAUUUCUAGGGACCGGGAGAGGUGAGAGGUACUGCCGGGGUAGGAGUGAAAUCCUGUAAUCCCGGUGGGACCACCUAUGGCGAAGGCAUCUCACCAGAACGGGUCCGACAGUGAGGGACGAAAGCUGGGGGAGCAAACCGGAUUAGAUACCCGGGUAGUCCCAGCUGUAAACGAUGCGCGUUAGGUGUGUCAGUGACCACGUGUCACUGAGGUGCCGAAGGGAAACCGUGAAACGCGCCGCCUGGGGAGUACGGUCGCAAGGCUGAAACUUAAAGGAAUUGGCGGGGGAGCACCACAACGGGUGGAGCCUGCGGUUUAAUCGGACUCAACGCCGGAAAGCUCACCGGAUAAGACAGCUGAAUGAUAGUCGGGAUGAAGACUCUACUUGACUAGCUGAGAGGAGGUGCAUGGCCGUCGUCAGUUCGUACUGUGAAGCAUCCUGUUUAGUCAGGCAACGAGCGAGACCCA